AAGUCGUAACAAGGUUUCCGUAGGUGAACCUGCGGAAGGAUUAUUACAGUAUUCUUUUGCCUGCGCUUAAUUGCGCGGCGAAAAACCUUACACACUAUGUUUUUCUAAUUUGAAACUUUUGCUUUGGUCUGCCUUAGAAAUAAGUUGGGCCAAAGGUUUACACCAAACUUCAAUAUUUAUAUUGAAUUGUUAUUUUAAUUAUUUGUCAAUUUGUUGAUUAAAUUCAAAAAUCUUCAAAA
rnacentral:misc_RNA from 1 species